rnacentral:rRNA from 1 species
UACGUAGGGGGCAAGCGUUGUCCGGAAUCAUUGGGCGUAAAGCGCGUGUAGGCGGCCCGGUAAGUCCGCUGUGAAAGUCGGGGGCUCAACCCUCGAAUGCCGGUGGAUACUGUCGGGCUAGAGUGCGGAAGAGGCGAGUGGAAUUCCUGGUGUAGCGGUGGAAUGCGUAGAUAUCGGGAGGAACACCAGUGGCGAAGGCGGUUGCCUGGAGCUUUGCUGACGCUGAUGCGCGAAAGCGUGGGGAGCGAUCCGG